GCCUAACACAUGCAAGUCGAGCGGAUGAAGGGAGCUUGCUCCUGGAUUCAGCGGCGGACGGGUGAGUAAUGCCUAGGAAUCUGCCUGGUAGUGGGGGAUAACGUCCGGAAACGGGCGCUAAUACCGCAUACGUCCUGAGGGAGAAAGUGGGGGAUCUUCGGACCUCACGCUAUCAGAUGAGCCUAGGUCGGAUUAGCUAGUUGGUGGGGUAAAGGCCUACCAAGGCGACGAUCCGUAACUGGUCUGAGAGGAUGAUCAGUCACACUGGAACUGAGACACGGUCCAGACUCCUACGGGAGGCAGCAGUGGGGAAUAUUGGACAAUGGGCGAAAGCCUGAUCCAGCCAUGCCGCGUGUGUGAAGAAGGUCUUCGGAUUGUAAAGCACUUUAAGUUGGGAGGAAGGGCAGUAAGUUAAUACCUUGCUGUUUUGACGUUACCAACAGAAUAAGCACCGGCUAACUUCGUGCCAGCAGCCGCGGUAAUACGAAGGGUGCAAGCGUUAAUCGGAAUUACUGGGCGUAAAGCGCGCGUAGGUGGUUCAGCAAGUUGGAUGUGAAAUCCCCGGGCUCAACCUGGGAACUGCAUCCAAAACUACUGAGCUAGAGUACGGUAGAGGGUGGUGGAAUUUCCUGUGUAGCGGUGAAAUGCGUAGAUAUAGGAAGGAACACCAGUGGCGAAGGCGACCACCUGGACUGAUACUGACACUGAGGUGCGAAAGCGUGGGGAGCAACCAGGAUUAGAUACCCUGGUAGUCCACGCCGUAAACGAUGUCGACUAGCCGUUGGGAUCCUUGAGAUCUUAGUGGCGCAGCUAACGCGAUAAGUCGACCGCCUGGGGAGUACGGCCGCAAGGUUAAAACUCAAAUGAAUUGACGGGGGCCCGCACAAGCGGUGGAGCAUGUGGUUUAAUUCGAAGCAACGCGAAGAACCUUACCUGGCCUUGACAUGCUGAGAACUUUCCAGAGAUGGAUUGGUGCCUUCGGGAACUCAGACACAGGUGCUGCAUGGCUGUCGUCAGCUCGUGUCGUGAGAUGUUGGGUUAAGUCCCGUAACGAGCGCAACCCUUGUCCUUAGUUACCAGCACCUCGGGUGGGCACUCUAAGGAGACUGCCGGUGACAAACCGGAGGAAGGUGGGGAUGAYGUCAAGUCAUCAUGGCCCUUACGGCCAGGGCUACACACGUGCUACAAUGGUCGGUACAAAGGGUUGCCAAGCCGCGAGGUGGAGCUAAUCCCAUAAAACCGAUCGUAGUCCGGAUCGCAGUCUGCAACUCGACUGCGUGAAGUCGGAAUCGCUAGUAAUCGUGAAUCAGAAUGUCACGGUGAAUACGUUCCCGGGCCUUGUACACACCGCCCGUCACACCAUGGGAGUGGGUUGCUCCAGAAGUAGCUAGUCUAACCGCAAGGGGGACGGUUACC
rnacentral:rRNA from 1 species